rnacentral:pre_miRNA from 1 species
GGGGAACCACCCUGCGUUCGCCUGUUGUUGGAAUUUUCCAGGUGAACACAGCUGGUGGUAUCUCAGU